AUUGAACGCUGGCGGAAUGCUUUACACAUGCAAGUCGAACGGUAGAGGGGGCAACCCCUUGAGAGUGGCGAACGGGUGAGUAAUAUAUCGGAACGUGCCCAGUCGUGGGGGAUAACGUAGCGAAAGUUACGCUAAUACCGCAUACGAUCUAAGGAUGAAAGCGGGGGACUCGCAAGAGCCUCGCGGCGAUUGGAGCGGCCGAUAUCAGAUUAGGUAGUUGGUGGGGUAAAGGCUCACCAAGCCAACGAUCUGUAGCUGGUCUGAGAGGACGACCAGCCACACUGGAACUGAGACACGGUCCAGACUCCUACGGGAGGCAGCAGUGGGAAUUUUGGACAAUGGGCGCAAGCCUUGAUCCAGCAAUGCCGCGUGCAGGAUGAAGGCC
rnacentral:rRNA from 1 species